rnacentral:lncRNA from 1 species
AUGCGUAACAGGCAACCUCAGUCCAAGCCGCCAAGUCGCCAUUGUGGGAAGGCUGUCCUCAAGACUCAGCCAGGUGCCAGCUGCUGGUCCAGCCCCCUGGGUCCAGUCAGCAGGUGUCAUUGGCUCAGGCUGUGGAGCCCUCAGUGCCUUCUCCCGCCCCAGCCAGGGCAGGCAACAGCGGUGUCAGGGGGCGGAGCCGCCCGGAGCGCCCUUUGUGGAGCUGGUACUCGGCCUGAAACUGCAUCUCACAAGAUCCCCACCAAGAGACAGAUUUGUGUACCAUAGAGAAGUUUCUACAUGAGGAUUGAUGCCUUGAGGGGGAAAAAGUAAUAAGUACCUUCAAGAGCUCCUGCUUCUCAACUCUGCUCCAACAAGGCAAGAUUCUGAGAGUGGCUGUCCCUGGGAAGCAGACUCCAUUCUUGUGGCUCUCCCAUUGGCUCCUGAGACUUUCAUCAGAGAUGGGGCCCCUUUAACUGCUGGGAGCAUCCACUGUUGCUCAGGCACUGAAGCCGCUGUCAUGAGUGUGUGUCCUGACCAGAGAAGCUGAGCUUUGGUGAGAUGACAGUGCAAGAACUACAAACACGUGUGGUCAUCCUGGUGGAGAACUGAAUGCAGAUACUCAAAAAGGAAGGUAAAUUAAAGGGAGAAGAAUGAAAUCUCCUUUUUCUAUUUAAAGGACCUCCUGAGAGGAGAAGAGAGGCAGAGCUCUGGGAUUUUAGGUUUGGAAGUGAAUUUCUCCCUCAUGAACAUAUGUAGAGUGAGAAGAGACCCUCAACACAUGUUCUAUGUACCAUUUCACCUCAGCAGUGCACAUUUAUGUUUAGAAUCACUCGGAGACUUUAGAAUAUAAAACAUUGUCCUGGCCCUCUGCAGACCAGUUCAAUCCAAAUACCUGGGAGUAGAGGCAUCUUCUAAUUUCCCUGGGAAAGUCAGGGCUGAAAAGUACUGAGCUGCCCAUAUGCCCAAGUGGAGUUGUAUCACAGCUGAGAGAAGGUUGUCCACUGAAUUCCUUCCCCAGAGUAACAGGGGUGCAACAGCUAGGUCAUGCAGCUUGAAGCUCAUAUAAGCCAUCCACCAUAGCAACAUAAGGCAGAAGCUCUAAGAUUUAAAUUUAGCCUUCAUUUCAUGUAUGAACAAGAUACCACUUUUCUCUGUUUCGUAGGUAUGCCUUCUCAGAAUGCUGCGCUUUCCCAAGAGGUGACUGUGGAAGAGAAAGAAAUGAAUAAGGGAUUGCAGCUGGCCAGAUCCCAGGUGAGUUGUGUUUUCCUCUCUACACUGCUAUCAU